ensembl:lncRNA
AUUUACUAUGUGCUGGGGACUUUUCCACCCGCUAGAAAGACGACAGCGACCAAAACAAAAAUCCUCAUUUUCAUGGAUCUUGCAUUCUAUGUGAGAAAGAUGAAAAGAUAAAUAAGUAAAUUUUAUACAAUGCUUGGUAACAAGUGCUAAGGAAAAAAAACGGCACAGUUAAAAAAGACAGAACGGAAAAGGAUGGGGCACUUGUGGUGCAAUUUUGUUAGGAUGCCCGAGAGGGCUGAGUGUAGUCGUAAACGAUCACAUCAUUUGAUGGAUGAAGUUAGGGACUGCGAAUCUGUGUUUCUGAGAGACACAUAAAGAAAAGAAGCCUUAAGGAAUCAAGGAAGAUCCAGAGUGGGGAAAUGAAGUGAAAAGAAAUCCAGCCGGUGGGGAGUCAUGAAGGGAUAAGUUAAGCGCGUUUUGGCAGGAAGGAAGAAAGCAAAAGUGCGGUACAGCCUUUCAUUACACGUGAAAAGAAUCACGUUUCUUUUUCUAUUUAGAAAAAGCCAAAGACUGUGCAAUUUAUGCCCAACUCCCCCCCACCUCGCGCCCAACUUCUCUCCUGUGGUCAGUGUUUCCCACACCUGAAUCAGGGUUACAGCCACUCUGGCUUUCAAUUGGCCCUGUGCAGGCGCAUGCUCUGCGCGUAUUGGCCUUCGCUCCUGUCCCCAGACGAGCGGCCAUCUUGGGUCCCGCCCCUACCGCUUUCUUUUGGGAAUUGCAGUCCCCGCUCCGCUCUGUCCGGUCACGGGACUUUUAGCCUUCUGUUCCGGGGUCCCUCAGGCGGCCACCCAGUGGGCACAAGCCCAGGCGGCGCUUUGACCCCGCGCUUCUUCCCUCUGCCUUUCAUUCACAGCUGCCAACAUCCUGGAAGAUGCCGUCAUAUGCCACGGAGUUGUGUAGAGCACAGGCUCUGGAGGAAGGGCAGACUUGGAUUUGCACCUAAACUCUGCCAUUUACAUGCCUAUGACCUUGGGCUUUACCUCUUAAGGAGGUCAGUGAACUAUAAGUGCCCUUUCCUCAGUGUGUAA